UCCCUGGUGGCUCAGACGGUAAGGCGUCUGCCUGCAAUGCGGGAGACCUGGGUUCGAUUCCUAGGUCGGGAA
rnacentral:tRNA from 1 species